rnacentral:lncRNA from 1 species
AAUUUCAAGCACUCUUUGACUCUCUUUUCAAAGUCCUUUUCAUCUUUCCCUCGUGGUACUUGUUCGCUAUUGGUCUCUCACCCGUAUUUAGCCUUGGACGGAAUCCACCGCCCGAUUUGGGCUGCAUUCCCACACAACCCGACUCGUGUACAGCGCCUCGUGGUGCGACAGGGUCCAGGCACAAAGGGGCUCUCACCCUCUCUGGCACCCCCUUCCAGGGGACUUGGGCCCAGUCCGCCGCUGAGGAAUCUUCUCCAGACUACAAUUCGGACGACGGAGCCGGCCGAUUCUAAGGCUAGGCUGUUCCCGGUUCGCUCGUCGUUACUAGGGGAAUCCUUGUAAGUUUCUUUUCCUCCGCUUAUAUAUAUGCUUAAUCUCAGCGGGUAGUCCCACCUGACCUGGGUUCGCGGUCGGAGCGCCAAAGCGCGAUAAGGGUCGGGGGAGCCCAAACAUGCAACGGGUUGGAGCCGCGACAUUGCGAGAGUUGAGUUUCAACCACCACUUGGUUGUGAUGUCCGUUGCUGUGGACUCGCAUUUAGGCCAACCGCAUGAUCAAGGAGCAUGGGAGACAAGUAUUCGUCCCACAACGCCCAGGCAGACGUGCCCUCGGCCUAAUGGCUUCGGGCGCAACUUGCGAUCAAAGACUCGAUGGUUCAUGAGAUUCUGCAAUUCACACAAAGUAUCGCAUUUCGCUACGUUCUUCGUCGAUGCGAGAGCCGAGAUAUUCAUUUCGGAGAGUCGUUUGUGUUUCAAAAGAAGCACAAGUCCCCCGCGCACGCCGCGAACGGGGCGCGAGGGGCAGGCUUUCAAAUUAGUAUUCCUUGGCGCUUUCCGCGCUGGGGUUCGUUAUUCACCCAGCACGCACGCGAGCGCACGCGUCGGGGAUACAGGAGGAAGCCACACGGACGGAGGUCAAAGCAUCCCAGCCGCACCGCUCCCCAGUUUUUAAACAAGUUUGCGCUUCGUUCUGCCUUGCAGGUUUCGACAAUGAUCCUUCCGCAGAUUCACCUAGGGAAACCUAGUUAUGACUUCUCCUUCCUCUAAAUUAUACGGUUAAAUGGACUUCUCGCGACGUCGCGGGCAUCAGACCGCCCACGUCGCCACGAUACGAACAUUUCACCGGAUCAUUCAAUCGGUAGGAGAAACGGGCGGUGUGUACAAAGGGUAGGGACGUAGUCAAUGCGAGCUGAUGACUUGCGCUUACUAGGAAUUCCUCGUUGAAGACCAACAAUGGCAAUGAUCUAUCCCCAUCACGAUGAAAUUUUGAAGAUUACCCGUGCUUGUCGGCCAAGGCUAUAAACUCGUUGAAAACAUCAGUGUAGCGCGCGUGCGGCCUAGAACAUCUAAGGGCAUCACAAGCCUGUUAUUGCCUCAAACUUAUGCGGCCUAAAAGGCCGUAGUCCAUCUAAGAAGUUGGCCGCGAAGGGAUACCUCUGCAAAGCUAGUUAGCAGGCUGAGGUCUCGUUCGUUAAUGGAAUUAACCAGACAAAUCGGUCCACCAACUAAGAAAGGCCAUGCACCACCACCCGUAGAAUCAAGAAAGAGCUCUCAGUCUGUCAAUCCUUACUAUGUCUUGACCAGGUAAGUUUCCGCGUGUUGAGUCAAAUUAAGUCGCAUGCUCCACUCCUGGUGGUGCCCUUCCGUCAAUUCCUUUAAGUUUCAUCCUUGCGACCAUACUCUCCCAGGAACCCAAAAACUUUGAUUUCUCAUAUGGUGUCGGCGGAGUCCUAAAACCAACGUCCGCCGAUCCCUGGUCGGCAUCGUUUAUGGUUGAGACUAGGACGGUACUUGAUCGUCUUCGAGCCCCCAACUUUCGUUCUUAAUUAAUGAAAACAUCCUUGGCAAAUGCUUUCGCAGUUGUUCAUCUUUCAUGAAUCAAAGAAUUCACCUCUGAUAUGAAAUACGAAUGCCCCCGACUGUCCUUGUUAAUCAUUACUCUGAUCUCGAAGGCCAACGUAAUAGGACCGAAAUCCUAUAAUGUUAUCCCAUGCUAAUGUAUACAGAGCAAUAGGCUUGCUUUGAGCACUCUAAUUUCUUCAAAGUAACAGUGCCGGAGGCACGACCCAGCCAAUUAAGGCCAGGAGCGCAUCGCCGGCAGAAGGGACGAGAGGACCGGUGCACACCAAAGGCGGACCGGCCGGCACAUCCCAAAGUCCUACUACAAGCUUUUUAACUGCAACAACUUAAAUAUACGCUAUUGGAGCUGGAAUUACCGCGGCUGCAGGCACCAGACUUGCCCUCCAAUGGAUCCUCGUUAAGGGAUUUAGAUUGUACUCAUUCCAAUUACCAGACUCAUAAAGCCCGGUAUUGUUAUUUAUUGUCACUUGCCCUCCAAUGGAUCCUCGUUAAGGGAAUUAGAUUGUACUUAUUCCAGUUACCAGACUCAUAAAUCCCGGUAUUGUUAUUUAUUGUCACUACCUCCCCGUGUCAGGAAUGGGUAAUUUGCGCGCUUGCUGCCUUCCUUGGAUGUGGUAGCCGUUUCUCAGGCUCCCUCUCCGGAAUCGAACCCUAAUUCUCCGUCAUCCGUCACCACCAUGGUAGGCCACUAUCCUACCAUCGAAAGUUGAUAGGGCAGAAAUUUGAAUGAUGCGUCGCCGGCACGAUGGCCGUGCGAUCCGUCGAGUUAUCAUGAAUCAUCGCAGCAACGGGCAGAUCCCGCGUCGACCUUUUAUCUAAUAAAUGAAUCCCUUGCAGAAGUUGGGGUUUGUUGCACGUAUUAGCUCUAGAUUACUAUGGUUAUCCGAGUAGUAGAUACCAUCAAAGAAAAUAUAACUGAUUUAAUGAGCCAUUCGCAG